rnacentral:rRNA from 1 species
UGGGGAAUAUUGGACAAUGGGCGAAAGCCUGAUCCAGCCAUGCCGCGUGUGUGAAGAAGGUCUUCGGAUUGUAAAGCACUUUAAGUUGGGAGGAAGGGCAGUAAGCGAAUACCUUGCUGUUUUGACGUUACCGACAGAAUAAGCACCGGCUAACUCUGUGCCAGCAGCCGCGGUAAUACAGAGGGUGCAAGCGUUUAUCGGAAUUACUGGGCGUAAAGCGCGCGUAGGUGGUUCGUUAAGUUGCAUGUGAAAGCCCCGGGCUCAACCUGGGAACUACGUGCAGGACAGGCGAGUGAGAGUAAGGCAGAGGGUGGUGGAAUAUCCUGAGUAGCGCUGAAAUGCGUAGAUAUAGGAAGGAAAACCAGUGGCGAAGGCGACCGCCUGGGCGCAUACUCACACUGAGAUGCGAAAGAGUGGGGAGCAAACAGG